AUAAAAUAAAUAGCAGUCGAACACUGAGGUUGAUGUAAUCAACUAGCCUCUCUCCCACCAAAAUUUCAGGCCCUGUGCCAAUAGUAGCAAUUGUUAGCGCAUUGAACAAAGUGCUGUAAUAACUAUUGCUUCUUGUUGGCUGCAUAUAAGAUGAUAAACAACACUCAUGGACAAUUAAUAGAAGCUUUAUUUACUGCACAUAUUCAAUAAUCUUUUGGUCAAGGGAUGAAGAAUCUGUGGGUCAUUGGGUGAAGAAUAAAGACAACAAUUUAUACACACUGGGAGAGACAACUCUGGAGUUUAUGGUAAAAUAGCUGGUAUGUGUAGAUCGAUGACUGGGCUGUCACAACUAGGAAAAUAUUGUGUUAAAUUCAAUGCCAAAUUUGUACUUUCAAUCUGCAGAGCUGGAGAAAGGAUAAAAUGAGAAUGAAGUUGUUAAAACAACAGUCUCAACAUUCUGAGGUUACCACCAAAAAUCCCCCCUUCUAUAAGGCUCAUUAGAAGGUGCUAGACAAUCAAAGCACAUCAUGGCUCAAUGCUGAUUGGUCAGUUAAUUGGCCAGCAUUCGCAUGGCUGUCCAGUGAUUUGGUUUUAAAUCUGCUACAAUGUUUAGCAGCAUUUCUUCUGGUUUUACAUUCAAAGUUCAAAUGCCAGCAACUUUACCUUUCAUUCUUCCAGGCACAAUAAAAUAAAUAUCAGUUGAACACUGGUAGACAUAACUGACUAGCCUCCCUCACACCAAAAUUUUAGGCCUUGUGCCUAUAGUAAGAAAGGAUUCUUAACCUUGUUUUGGAUGAAAGGUGGAUUAGUAGAAUCACAUUACAGCAUUGGAAAAUGUGAAAAUUAAUAUUUAUAAAAUUUAAGUUUUAAUUUCUUGAAAUUAUUUCCCCUUUUCUUUAAGAGUAGCUCAGAUUUGCUGCUAGGUUAUUUUUGUUUUCUUCCUCCAACUAAGAAAGUUAAAUCAGUCAAAAACUUACUUUUUUCCCUCUGUCAUUCAUACUUGAAUUAUCCAAAUUCUUUAUAUCUACCCACAUAUGGGUUUUUUUUAGCUCUCCAAUCACUUUUCUUAAUCAUACAAAUUACUGUUGGGUAAAAAUAUCAUUAAUGACUUUAUCAAAUUUCAUAUAAGAACCUAAAUAACCAGAACUAAAUUAUUUCAAAAUACAAUUUUUUGGGACAUUUUCUUGACAAGUCUGUAUUUUCAGAUUUAAGAUACUGUUAUGAAAGCUUGCUUUAGUGCAUGGUGGGGAGAGCAUAACAUAAAAAAGGGUGGGAGGAGACUUGAUUAGUAAGAACAAAAGAUAAAGAGAUUGUUCAUUAUCAACAUCGUGUUAUUUCAAGAUGAUGGCAGUAACUGUUUCGCGGCAUGCAAUAGCUGAUGACUGUGAACAUAUUAUUGGUUUAUUCAAGGAACAAGUAAAAUCUGGAGAAAAGAAAAACCCACCUUCUGUGGAUGAUCUAAAAACCUACUGUUUGAAUGGAGAGAACUCGUUCAAUAUCCUCAUUGCUGAAUGGAAUCAUAAAGCUCCUUCAAAAGCAGUUGACAGACCAAGCACAGGACCAUUGGUUGGAUAUAUGUUCUACCAAUACAUAUUCUCCACAUGGGAAGGCAUGACUAUACAAAUAACUGACCUGUACGUGUCACCACUACCACAAUAUGAGUUCAUCUGUAAAGAUCUGUUUCAUUUCCUAUCCAAGAUGUCUGUAGAUGAGAAUUGUGUUCAAGUGCAAUGGCGAACAAAUGGUAACAAUGACUUGAAAAACUUAAGCAAAUAUUUUAAUGCCAUGAAUAUGACAGAGAUGGCAAAUUGUCUUGCAAAGAAACUCGAAAAGCAUCAGCUGAAAGAAAUUUGCUCUAGUUGCUAAGAAAUGCAACUUUGUUCUCUUUUUUUCUAAAGGAAAAUUAAAGACUAAUAAACGAGAGCAAAGGCAGGAGAUAAGGGCAGAAGAAAAAAUACACAAGCAAGAAUCUGCAGAUGGAUGGAUAAACAUUUAUAUAUUUAAGAUACCGUUAUGAAAGGUUAUUAUAGUGACUUAUUAUAGGGACUUGAUUGGUCGGAACAAAAAUAAAAGAGACUAUUCAUUGUCAACACCGUGUAAUUUCAAGACGAUGGCGCUAAUUGCCUCGCGGCAUGCAACAGCUGAUGACUGUGAAUUCAUUAUUGGUUUAUUCGAGUCAUUUGACUGCGGCCAUGCUGGAACACCGCCUUUAGUCGAGCAGAUCGACCCCAGGACUUAUUCUUUGGAAGCCUAGUACUUAUUUUAUCGGUCUCUUUUGCCGAACCGCUAAGUUACGGGGACGUAAACACACCAGCAUCGGUUGUCAAGCGAUGUUGGGCGGACAAACACACACACACACAUAUACAUAUAUACGACAGACUUCUUUGAGUUUCCGUCUACCAAAUCCACUCACAAGGCUUCAGUCGGCCCGUGGUUAUAGGAUAUCUGGCAGUAAAAUAUUGCUGCAAUAACUUUUCCAGCAAGGAAAAGUUAACAUAAAACGAACGACCUUGUGUGAGUGUUGUCUACUAAAACCACAGGUUGACCAAAGCUUUUUGAGAGGAAACUAAAAGAAGCAUAUUGUGAGUGUGUUUGAGUCUUUGUAUUUGUAUCUCCCCAAUUCCAACUUGUUAAUUAAUGUGGCUUGUGUAUAUCCCUGUAACGUAGCGGUUUGGCAAAAGAGACCGAUAGAAUAAGUAACAGGCUUUAAAAAAAGUACUGACAGUGUCCCAGCAUGGCCAUAGUCCAAUGUCAGAAACAAGUAAAAGAUACAUAAAGACCCACACUACGAAGCACAAUGUAUUUUACCUCUAUUCAACCCAGAAAGACAUGAAAACUAACUGAAACUGCUGAUGUUAAUAUUAAAACAUUUUGAUUAAAGAAAAAAAAAUACCGAGAACCACUUGGAUGUUUCCACUGGUAGAUGGUUGGGUAGGUUAUUGGAAAGAGAUAUAACAAUCAAACCUACUGUGUGUGUGUGUGUGUAUCUGUAAGAGGGAGAGAGAGAUGGUAUUCCAUCUUGGCCUUCGUCGUAAUGGCUAAAUACCUAAAGAACACAUGGUCUCCAUCUCAGUUUCUUUUAAUAAGGUUGAUAAACUAUUUUUUUUUUUAGCCAUAAUUCUGAUAUGUGCCACAUUUGGAAAACACCUAAAGACUCAUCUCACAAAUAGUUCUCCCCACUACCUUUAUAAAAGGUGUGUGUUAUGAGUUUUAAAAAAUGUGUAGUGUGGAUUUUUUAUUUGGUUGAUAAUCCAAAACGAAAGAGCAAUAGAUGGAUUUGUUUGGGUGUAAAGCAAAGUGCUCCGAAAGUGAAAGUAAACAACCAUAAAAUUUAUGUAAAAACUACUUUCAUAGGUACUGGCAUUGUUGUAUAAGAAGCUUGCUUCCCAACCACAUGGUUCUGGGUUCAGUCCCACUACGUGGCACCAUGGGUGAAAGUCUUCUACUAUAGCCUCCGGCUGACCAAAGCCUUGUGAGUGCAUUUGUUAGAUGGAAACUGAAAGAAGCCUGCCAUAUAUGUAUGAUUAUAUGUAUAUGUUUACAUCCCUGUAACUUAGCAGUUUGGCAAAACAGACUGAUAGAAUAAGUACUAGACUUACAAUUCAUAUUGUUCCUAAAAUACAUGUAUACUUGGACUGUGGAAAGAGAAAUUUAUACAUGCUUUAUGGCUCAGACCUUUUAUCAAGUUAGAGUAGCAUUUCCCAACCUGUUUUCUCUCAGGACCCACUAUAACUUUCCCAAAAAAUGUAUGUCUCACUACUUUUUGGUAAAAAACAACUUUAUCUUUAAUAUCUUAUCACGUUUAACAUAAAAGAAUCUACUCUUUUAUUAAGUACUGAGUUCAAAAAAAAGAAGUACAUUAUUGACAAAGAAAUAAAAGUUAAUCACUUUAAUGAGAACCUUGUACCAGGCGACUUCAGCACCAAGCCCUACCACAUUUUUCCUUGGUCCCCACCAGUGGGGUGUAUGCCCCACGUUGGGAAUCGUUGAGUUAAAAAGAGAAAAGUGAAAUUUUAAGAAAAAAAUAUUACAUGCUGUUAGACAGGUGUCAUUAUAGUUACAGAGACAGGAAGUGGGAAGGUAGUGGUGGAUUUUGAAGAGGGGUGUUGGUGAGUAUGGUAGGCAUUUUUUUGCCAUGAAUAUGUUGACUGAUUUAUUGUUUCAGUAUUUAAGGAUAAAUACUAAAUACAGAGACUGAUGAUAGUUGUGUGAAUAGGUCAUGAUGACUCAGUGAUAGUAUUAGCUAGAUGCCAUGCUCUAUUAUGUGUAUCUUGUCAUGUUCUAGUUUCUGUAAGAACUUCACGACAAACCAAUGAUUGGAGCCUCUUCAUAAUUACUCAACCUGCUAGAAAUAGCAGUCCAAUCUCUAAUUACUCCAUACUGUCUUGAGAAAGGAAAGACUAUAUUGAACCAUUAAUUCUACACACAUAUGGCCCAGACCAUGAUUAUCAACAUGAACAUCAAACUUCAAAAAGUAGUUAGCUAUUUAAUGGUUUUAGUAAAUUUAUACAGAAAAAGUAAGCAUUAUACCAUCCAGCAUAAAUAAAAGUCAACUUCACUAUAUUUUUUCUGUAAAAACCUAUUCUGACAUUAAAUGAGUCAACUUCUGGUAUGAAUGUUUACAUUUGUACAUCAUUUUUCAACAAAAAAGAAUUUCUAAAAAAUUCUGGAAACUAUCUACUCAUGUAAUUUACGCACCCCCUAAAGUUUAUUUUUGUUUUUGCAAAAGAAGUGCGUAAAUUACAUGGGUUUUUACAGUAUAUUCUAUGGCUUUUCAAGGAUUCCUGGAUGUCUCUUAAUACAAUCAAUUUUCAUUAUAAAACUGCACCUUGUUGCCAAUACCCAUGGAUGAUCUGUAUAAAGCAAACUACAAGGUCUAUAACCAAACUGAAUUUACAUAUAUAUAUAUAAAUUGGAAAUGUAAAAAUAAAAACAAGACACAAAGGAUUCUGUGGUACACGUGUUUCAAGCUUUUGUUUUUAUUUUUACAUUUCCAAUUUAUUCCUUCACCCCGGCCACAAUCUGGCAUACACAGGUGCUUAUAAUUAUCAAGUAU